GAUGAACGCUGGCGGCGUGCCUAAUACAUGCAAGUCGAGCGAACGGACGGAACGUUUGCCUCUAUGCUGUUAGGGACGGGCGGGUGAGUCACACGAAGCUGCCCUGCAUAUAAGACUGAGAUAACUUCACGGGACCUAAUCUCACACACGACCAUAUUUUGAAACGCAUGGUUCUUAAGUGAUAGCCCGUUUUGCUGACCCUAAGUCGCAUUAGCUAGUUGGUAGGGUAAAUGCCUACCAAGGCGACGAUCCCUAACAGAUCUGAGAGGGUGAUCGGCCACACUGGAACUGAGACACGGUCCAGACUCCUACGGGAGGCAGCAGUAGGGAAUCUUGGACAAUGGGCGAAAGCCUGACGCAGCAACGCCGCGUGAGUGAUGAAGGUCUUCGGAUCGUAAAGCUCUGUUAUUAGGGAAGAACGUAAGUAAGAGAAAACGUUCAUAUCUUGACGGUACCUAAACAGAAAGCCACGGCUAACUACGUG
rnacentral:rRNA from 1 species